AAUGAAAAAAACAAAAACAUUGCUGUUCAUGAGAUGCAUAUUAUCUUAUAUAUAAGAGUCCUGCUUUGGCCAUGGUGAGAAAUGAGACAAUUUCACCUUUCAGGCAUAAGUUUUUGUUCACAUUAAAACAUUUACAUUCUGCACAAUGAAAUGUUUUCUCUAGCUUGUGAUAGUGUAUCAAUUCUCGUAACUCUUUGUCUUAAAAUAUUUCAUUACACAGUUUUUUCAAGUCUGUCUUUCUCACUUCUCCAGUGGUUGUUCGCUCGAGGUAGUCCAACUUCCAUUCAGUCCACAUUUGUCCCUCUGAAAACUUGCUUGCUACUUUGGCUUCGCUGCAUGUUUUGCAGAGUAAACCUUUCUCACUC